rnacentral:rRNA from 1 species
UACGUUGGGGGCAAGCGUUGUCCGGAAUUACUGGGCGUAAAGGGCUCGUAGGGGGUCAACUAAGUCAGACGUGAAAUCCCUCAGCUUAACUGGGGAACUGCGUCUGAGACUGAUUGGCUCGAGGACAGGAGAGGAACGCGGAAUUCCAGGUGUAGCGGUGAAAUGCGUAGAUAUCUGGAGGAACACCGGUGGCGAAGGCGGCGUUCUGGACUGUUUCUGACACUGAAUAACGAAAGCCAGGGGAGCAAACGGG